rnacentral:rRNA from 1 species
GGCGAACGGGUGAGUAAUACGUGAGUAACCUGCCCUUGACUCUGGGAUAAGCCUGGGAAACUGGGUCUAAUACUGGAUACUACCUCUUGCCGCAUGGUGGGUGGUGGAAAGGGUUUUACUGGUUUUGGAUGGGCUCACGGCCUAUCAGCUUGUUGGUGGGGUAAUGGCUCACCAAGGCGACGACGGGUAGCCGGCCUGAGAGGGUGACCGGCCACACUGGGACUGAGACACGGCCCAGACUCCUACGGGAGGCAGCAGUGGGGAAUAUUGCACAAUGGGCGGAAGCCUGAUGCAGCGACGCCGCGUGAGGGAUGACGGCCUUCGGGUUGUAAACCUCUUUCAGUAGGGAAGAAGCGAGAGUGACGGUACCUGCAGAAGAAGCGCCGGCUAACUACGUGCCAGCAGCCGCGGUAAUACGUAGGGCGCAAGCGUUGUCCGGAAUUAUUGGGCGUAAAGAGCUCGUAGGCGGUUUGUCGCGUCUGCUGUGAAAGCCCGGGGCUCAACCCCGGGUCUGCAGUGGGUACGGGCAGACUAGAGUGCAGUAGGGGAGACUGGAAUUCCUGGUGUAGCGGUGAAAUGCGCAGAUAUCAGGAGGAACACCGAUGGCGAAGGCAGGUCUCUGGGCUGUUACUGACGCUGAGGAGCGAAAGCAUGGGGAGCGAACAGGAUUAGAUACCCUGGUAGUCCAUGCCGUAAACGUUGGGCACUAGGUGUGGGGGACAUUCCACGUUUUCCGCGCCGUAGCUAACGCAUUAAGUGCCCCGCCUGGGGAGUACGGCCGCAAGGCUAAAACUCAAAGGAAUUGACGGGGGCCCGCACAAGCGGCGGAGCAUGCGGAUUAAUUCGAUGCAACGCGAAGAACCUUACCAAGGCUUGACAUUCACCGGACCGCCCCAGAGAUGGGGUUUCCCUUCGGGGCUGGUGGACAGGUGGUGCAUGGUUGUCGUCAGCUCGUGUCGUGAGAUGUUGGGUUAAGUCCCGCAACGAGCGCAACCCUCGUUCUAUGUUGCCAGCACGUGAUGGUGGGGACUCAUAGGAGACUGCCGGGGUCAACUCGGAGGAAGGUGGGGAUGACGUCAAAUCAUCAUGCCCCUUAUGUCUUGGGCUUCACGCAUGCUACAAUGGCCGGUACAAAGGGUUGCGAUACUGUGAGGUGGAGCUAAUCCCAAAAAGCCGGUCUCAGUUCGGAUUGAGGUCUGCAACUCGACCUCAUGAAGUCGGAGUCGCUAGUAAUCGCAGAUCAGCAACGCUGCGGUGAAUACGUUCCCGGGCCUUGUACACACCGCCCGUCAAGUCACGAAAGUUGGUAACACCCG